UACGAAGGGGGCUAGCGUUGCUCGGAAUCACUGGGCGUAAAGGGUGCGUAGGCGGCCUGCUAAGUCGGACGUGAAAUCCCUCGGCUCAACCGAGGAACUGCGUCCGAUACUGGUGGGCUUGAAUCCGGGAGAGGGAUGUGGAAUUCCAGGUGUAGCGGUGAAAUGCGUAGAUAUCUGCAGGAACACCCGUGGCGAAAGCGGCGAGCUGGAUCACUACUGACGCUGAAGAACGAAAGCUAGGGGAGCAAACAGG
rnacentral:rRNA from 1 species